CCAGAAGAGAUUGGAUUUCCUCCAUGCUUAGGUCCUUGGCUUGCCUCCGAUUUAUUUCUAAGAUUUCAUCUCCCACCUCCAGCACUCCCUGUGGAAAUGAUGAGGUGAAGGCUCCGCUCAGCUGAACCACGAACAACCCUGACAGGAGGUGAACAAAGAAUAUUAGGAUUGGUCGAAUAGCUGUCAAAGACAAGGUUAAGAGGGUGAUUUAUUCAUGGUAGGAACCUGUUUGGUGGAUCGAUGCUCUUCAAGAGGGGGAUUAAGUACGCUCCAUGCUGUAACUGGGAAUGAGCCGAGGCUGUAUGGUGGAGUUAUAUUACUACAGCAGUGAAGUGGAGGCAGAGAUGGCACAUGGCUUGCACAUUCGGCCAGCAGUUCAUAGUGACAUUAAGAUUUGACAGUAUUCAUCAAACUCGAAUAUAGGUCUCCUAUUGCAUAUCAUUGUAAUUCAAAUAACAUCCACUGCUCAAGCCCUGAGAAAGGGAGAGGCCUUGCCCUGAAACAUGUUGGCUGUAUUUGAUGCUCUUAACCAAUAAAUGUUUUGAAAAGAC